AACGCGAAGAACCUUACCCGGGCUAGAAAAGCACGGAACCUGCUAGAAAUAGCGGGGUGCCCGCAAGGGAACCGUGAUCCAGGUGCUGCAUGGCUGUCGUCAGCUCGUGUCGUGAGAUGUUGGGUUAAGUCCCGCAACGAGCGCAACCCUUGUCCUCAGUUGCCAGCGGUUCGGCCGGGCACUCUGAGGAGACUGCCGGCGUCAAGCCGGAGGAAGGUGGGGAUGACGUCAAGUCCUCAUGGCCCUUAUGUCCGGGGCUACACACGUGCUACAAUGGUCGGUACAGAACGGCGCGAACCCGCGAGGGGAAGCCAAUCGGCAAAAGCCGACCUCAGUACGGAUUGCAGUCUGCAACUCGACUGCAUGGAGCCGGAAUUGCUAGUAAUCGCUGAUCAGCAGGCAGCGGUGAAUACGUUCCCGGGCCUUGUACACACCG
rnacentral:rRNA from 1 species